rnacentral:lncRNA from 10 species
GCGCCCCAAGGAGGGACGCGGGGGUGCAGUCGCGGCCCAUUAUCUGUGCCCGGGAAGUCCUGAAGGCUCUAGGAGCUGUCAGAUUAAACCCCCAGACCCACAAGAAAAUCCCUGAAGCUUCGUUGACUUUUGCUGAUGGAGCCUCUCUGAAGGGCAAAUUCAAAGUACAGCUGGGUGCUGCAGCACUGGAGUGCGAACUUGUGGCUGUGGUUAUGAAGGAGCCUCGUCAGCUAUGCCUUUAGCCCCUGGUGAAGCAGUGCCAGUCACACUUUGCCAGUCAAACGGAGAGGCAGCAGUAGUAAGACCAGACCAAAUCAAACCAAACCAAGCAAACCACGGGGAAUGGAGACACAGAGUUUCAUUCUGUCACCCAGGCUGGAGUGCAGAUGCAGUGGCAUGAUGAUAGUGCACUACAACUUGGAACUCCUGGGCUCAAGCCAUCUUCCCUCCACUGCCUCCAAGUAGCUGGGGACUACAGGAUAUAUUUGGCAUUAAACUCGGGACAAAAGAAGACACAAACUUUAUCUUGUGGUUUGGGUCCUCCAAUCCUCAUAAAAGUGUGGUUUCACCUGUUACCUCAUAAAGGUGCCAUUGCUGUAUGCACAUCUGAAUCUGUUUACAAUUUGAGAAUAGAGAUUCAUGAAGUUUAGCCCAGACUCUCUGAAUCCAGUAUUCCUGUGGAUGUGGCCUAGGAAUCUGCACAUUCAACAGGCAUCCUCGGAUGCUCUUUUAUACAUUAAAGAUUGAGAAACAUU